AACGCUGGCGGCAUGCCUAAGACAUGCAAGUCGAACGAAGUGGCCCAUUGAAGAUGGAGUGCUUGCACAAUAUUGGAUUGGAUUCCACUGAGUGGCAAACGGGUGAGUAACACAUGGGUUACCUACCUCCUAGUCGGGGAUAACAGUUGGAAACGAUUGCUAAUACCGGAUGUGCUCUACGGAGUAAAGAAGCCCUUAAAGCUUCGCUAGGAGAUGGGCCUGUGGCGCAUUAGCUAGUUGGUGAGGUAAUGGCCCACCAAGGCAACGAUGCGUAGCCGAACUGAGAGGUUGAUCGGCCACAUUGGGACUGAGACACGGCCCAGACUCCUACGGGAGACAGCAGUUAGGAAUAUUCGUCAAUGGGGGCAACCCUGAACGAGCAAUGCCGCGUGAGUGAAUGAAGGUCCUCUGGAUUGUAAAACUCUGUUGUUUAGGAAAAAUUGUACAAGUAGGAAAUGAUUUGUACUUGAUGUUACUAUUCAAGAAAGCCACGGCUAACUACGUGCCAGCCGCGGC
rnacentral:rRNA from 1 species